GACGAACGCUGGCGGCGUGCUUAACACAUGCAAGUCGAACGGAAAGGCCCUGCUUUUGUGGGGUGCUCGAGUGGCGAACGAGUGAGUAACACGUGAGUAACCUGCCCUUGACUUUGGGUUAACUUCAGGAAACUGGGGCUAAUACCGGAUAGGAGCUCCUGCUGCAUGGUGGGUGUUGGAAAGUUUCGGCGGUUGGGGCUGGACUCGCGGCUUAUCAGCUUGUUGGUGGGGUAGUGGCUUACCAAGGCUUUGACGGGUAGCCGGACUGAGAGGGUGACCGGCCACCUUGGGACUGACAUACGGCAGAGGCUCCGACGGGAGGCAGCAGUGGGGAAUAUUGCACAAGGAGCGGAAGGCUGAGGCAGAAACGCCGCGUGCGGGAUGACGGCCUUCGGGUUGUAAACCGCGUUCGCCUGUGACGAAGCGUGAGAGACGGUAAUGGGUAAAGAAGCACCGGCUAACUACGUG
rnacentral:rRNA from 1 species